UCUCGUGCAUGAGGUCGGGCAGACUAGGAACUGUCCAUCCAGUAAGCUCGUGUGCAGCUGACCAGAAAGUACUGUAAUUACAAAGCUCUCUUUGGCCUGUCCACCCAGCUACAGCUAACUUUGGAUGGGAGGAAUCAUUGUCCAUUUAGCACAGUCGGCCCUUGCGGGGAAUAUCAUCAAACGACAGAACGAGGUGAAGACAGAAGGAUCUCCUGGAUGCCCUCCAGCCUCAAAGGACCAGUCCAAACACAGAUUUUUCCCUCCCUCUCAGAGGUGAAAAUGGAUACGAGUGAGGGAGGCAUGACUGAUAUUACAGGAUGGUGAAAAAUGAUGCGUAAUUACACCCCCCUUGAGAGGCUGACGAGUGACCUAACAAGUUUCUCAGUGCAGCUCUCGUGUGUCCCCAGCUACAGCCAAACCUGCCUGUGCCGACCGCUGUGAGCGAGUGGCCUGCUGCACAGCCGUGUUUAUCCGAGGGUGGGGGCGGGCCGAUCAACAGAGAGAGCGAUAGGGCACUGCUGACCAUGAGCUCCCAGUGCCACGGCGGGUGUAUGUGUGUGUGUGUGUGUGGGGGUAGUCUGUUGUUGCCACGCCACCAUCGGGGGAUCGGUGCUCCCCGGCGUCAUGGUUCAGAGGGAAGAGCACCUCCAGCCCAGCGCCCCCAUCACGACCUCUUAAACACCACUUUUCUGGGGUUGUGAUGGCUCACCGUGGGGGCCUGCUAGGAGCCAGGAGGGGGAGGAGAAGCUUAAUUUAGCAGAAACACACGUGCGCCUGCAACACACAGGCGAGAUCAGACCCGCGACCGCAAAAUGGUUCUAAUAUAUUCCCAGUGCUACUUGUGAAUAUGAAUAAAAAAAUUAAUAAUUAAUUUUUGCCCAGGGCAUGAAAAGAUAUACUAGUUUUAAUUAGUGUACUGUACUCUUAUGCAAUUAAAAAAUAAUUGAUGUC